GUCCAAAUGACUAAGAGAGAUAACAGUCCAGUUUUGCCCUCAGUGUCAAAGUUUUCAUUUAUAUCCCAAAAGGUACAAAACACAUGUAUAAUAUUUUAAAUGGUAAAAAGUUAAAUACUUAACAUCAAUGUGAACAAAAAUGGUCAUAAAUUCUUAAUACAAACUUCAACUGAACAAAUAUCCAUGUAUUGCCCUUUUAUAUUACAAAAAUCAAAAUUGCAGUUGUUUCAAUACAUAAUAAUACAUCGAAUUUUAUGCACGAAUGAUUUCUCUUUAAAAUAACAAUUGAAGCUAAAAAUAAGUGUAGUUCUGGGUGCGGAGGAGUUGAAACAAUAACACAUAUAUUCUGGACGUGUCCCUAUAUAUCAAAAGUCAGGGAAGACCCUAACUCCUGGAUAUUUCAGAAGACAGAAAUAAAACUAACCUUGAAUAUUGAUUUGGUUUUAUUAGGUCUUCUAACAAAAACAGAUAUAAAUGAUAUAAGAAACGUAAUACUUCUGUUAACAAUACUCUACAUUUAUAGAUGCAAAUUGUCAAUGGAACAAACCAAUAUCAUAGCCCGAAAAAAUAUUUAAAAGAAAACUCAUUAAUAGAAAAAUAUACUUUAUAAAAACAAAUUACUCAGUAGGGCAGAGAACUGCUGGAACCCCUGAACUCCUUUUCUGUCAUAAAAACAAACAAACAAAAACAUAAUAGACUCCACAUAUAUUGAAUAUAUAUUUCAUAUUCAAACAGCCUUUGUCUUACAAUCAUUUUCUGCAGUGUAUCAAACUAAAACAG
rnacentral:lncRNA from 1 species